AUUGAACGCUGGCGGCAGGCCUAACACAUGCAAGUCGAACGAGUGGCGGACGGGUGAGUAAUGUCUGGGAAACUGCCUGAUGGAGGGGGAUAACUACUGGAAACGGUAGCUAAUACCGCAUACCAUCGGAUGUGCCCAGAUGGGAUUAGCUAGUAGGUGGGGUAACGGCUCACCUAGGCGACGAUCCCUAGCUGGUCUGAGAGGAUGACCAGCCACACUGGAACUGAGACACGGUCCAGACUCCUACGGGAGGCAGCAGUGGGGAAUAUUGCACAAGGGGCGCAAGCCUGAUACAGCAAUGCCGCGUGUGUGAAGAAGGCCUUCGGGUUGUAAAGUACUUUCAGCGAGGAGGCGGUACUCGCAGAGGAAGCACCGGCUAACUCCGUGCCAGCAGCCGCGGUAAUUC
rnacentral:rRNA from 1 species